rfam:Triticum aestivum genome assembly, contig: Triticum_aestivum_CS42_TGACv1_scaffold_130237_2BL
AAUAUACUUUCUCCGUCCGAAAAUAUUCGUCGGAGGAAUGGAUGUAUCUAGAUCUAUUUUAGUUCUAGAUACAUUUAUUUUUAUGCAUUUCUUCGACAAGUAUUUCCGGACGGAGGGAAUACAAU